GGAUUAAGGUCAAAAGUGGCCCUGGAGACCAAAUUCCCUAGUGAGGAACUGCCACAUAACUUCAUGUGUCUUUUGCUUCUGAAUUAUUUCUUCUAGAAACCACCAACCACAAGCUGUCACGCUGGUAUUAUAUCUACAUAACGUUUAUUCUUCUUACAGCAAAGAGCUGGAGAAAUACAAGUGAGAACCUGUUAUUACAGGUUAAAUUGUGUAACACUCAACUUGCGCUGAGGUCCAGUUUCUUUUUAUUAUGCUCCAAUUUUGUUGAAUGACUAUUGCCUAAAAUAAAUGGGCAAUCGACAGGGGCUUAGAACUAACAGGGAUGCUUAAGUGACUUUUAUGGUAGCAGUAUUUGUUGUAACAGAAUUUGAUCUGUAUUCUAGUUAUUAGUUUUAUUCAUCACAUUGGAAAGUUGGCACCUCCACUGUUCAUGCCAUUAUAUGCAAAGCACUGUAGCAUGAAAGUCACUUACAAAGCUGUGAAAAAAACUCUCUGAACACCAGAGGCUCAUGAAACAAUAAAAGUCAGCUAGGGGGAUAUACACUGUUUGAUUUAGCUAAAUAUUCUGGAUGGUCAAAGGUUUAUUCCUUUUAAUUCCUAAAAGUUUUUUUUUUUAACCAUUGGGAUGUAAAUAUUUCUAAAAUGUUUGAUAUACAUAUUUUUGUCUUCUAAGCAUAGUUUUUUUAUGUAUGGUGCACAGGGUCAUCAUUUUAAAUAGAAUAUUGUCCCAUGAUACAGUGAGGCUCUUAAAGAUUGAGAUGUGUAUAGACUGUUUUUGACACUAAAUAACCCAUAUAUCAGGGCUUUGGAGCUUUGCAGUCUACUCAAAAUUUCCAUUUUCUCUAUUGCUGUCCUCCUUUUUCCUUCUUGUUUCCUCUAAAAGUCUGUUUCUUUCCUUUACAGUUAGAAAUAUGUGUGAAGGAAGAGCAAAUAGGUUCUGAGGAGGUGCCUGAUGACUAGAUGUAUGGCCUUUGUCUUAUGCGUUUGCUUCAUGGUAUUUAUUUCAAUUGGUUGGAAGCCUUGUUUGCUUACUUCUUAAUUCUCAGUCACUUUUGAUGGGUUCAGCAGAGGUUCUAGAUUUUUCUAGUUCUGUCUCAGUUACUCAUUGUCAAACCACUGGUUUAGAUUUUGUGUUCAGGAAAUAGGGAUAGGUAAAGCUAUCAGGUGGCUAAGCCCUAGGUAAAUGAGUUGCCAUGAAUCCUAAAAUAUUGUGAAGGUUGUGGGCCAUUUUUAUAAGGCAAAUGGUAUGCUGUGGCCGUGACAGCUGAACUCAGUAAGUGAACUUUAAAACAGAUAAGCUCCUUUUGCUGUUGUCCCUUUCCAAGAAUAUGAAGCUGGCCUGACGUCAAGCUGUUGGAGAGCCUUCAACAUGUUUAAUUAAAUCACAGACUCAGUGUCAGAGCUGGCUGACUUUCAGGAUUCUAACGCUAUAGCAAAAGAAGACAUGGUUUUGCCUCUCGUUGAUUUUCUUAUUUAUGGCCUUGGAAUAAAGAAGAUAAAGCAAGUCUAACAGUUCUCCCUUCCAAAAGUACAGUUUCAGGCCAGAAGAUUUGACUGCUACCCUUAGACUUUCUUUCCCUCACUGUACAUUGCAUUUUACAGGCUAUACAAAGCAAGACCUUCUUUGCAAAAGGCAAACUCCUUUGCCCCAAGGCCAUACUGUACAUGUGUGGGGGUAGUUGUAGGGGGAUCAGUGUUGUUAUUCACCAAUACAAGAUGGAAUCAGUGCAGCUAGGAGAGAAGAGAUUAAGGAAAGAGGCUGUGAAGUCUGCUAGACCUGGGUUUAAAUUCUGGCUUCCCGCUUAUUAGGGUGUAACCGUGGUCACAGUACUUAAUUCUCUAAAUUUGAUUCCUGAGCAACAAAGUGGGGAAUGAUAGUAUUGGUGCUGUUACUAUUAUGAUAAUGUGAAAAACAACAGGAGAGUACCUGGCCCAGAGAAAGAGCUAAGUGACAGCUCUUAUUAACAUAAAUGAAUGAUUUAAACCUGGAGAUUACAAUAGUUAACAAGCACAGACACUUAGUGCAGUCUGUUACUGACUUCAAGCAGUCUUUUGCUUUUGUUUCUAUUUCUGUGACAUCUUCUCUUAUUACGACUUUCUGUUGGGUGUCUCUAACUCUGGUGCCUUGUGAAGGCCAGGAGAUAUUCCAGACAAGCUGAAAUUCUACCUUUUUAUGAGUAUAAAGGAAAUGGGGCCAUGUUGGACCAAACAAAGAGUAAUAAAAUAAAAUAUAGAGUUGUAGCUUUCAGAGGGAAAGAUAAAACAAGAAAGGGCUGGGGCAAUGGAUGUGGUGUUGAGAUACUGGCACCAGGAAGCAGGGAAGAAAACCUCCAAACACAUUGUGGUUUGUUAAAACACUGAAGACUCCUAAGUGCUACAGUGGCAGGCAGUGCCACCCCACCAGGCAGCAGUGUCCUCCGCAACUGGGGAAGAGGAAGUAGGGCCUAAUGAUUGCUCUCGGAGACAGAGAGUCUGCUGUCCUGGGCUUUACCAGCCUGGCUUGUUGGGUGACCUUGAGUGACUUAUCUCCCUCUCUUGGACAAUUUUCUCAAGGUUCUCACACAGUCCCUAGCUAACUAAAAGGGUCUGAUGAAGAUAAAUGUGUUAAAAGAAAAUUUAGAGGAGAGUCCACAAACUGUCCCUCCAGAUACACCUGCUGGUGGGUUUUAGGAUUUUUAAACAUUAAAUUUUAAUGCAUUUAGGCAGGGCUUGGUAUUUUCUAAUUCACACAGUAUCUACCAUCUUGAGUCUUCACAUUUGGCUCCUGAAGGCCUCUGAGUAUAUGACUUCUGAUUUCAAUGCAACCUCUGGUCCUUCAAACCAGCUUGGAAUUGCUUCAUUUACAACUCAUUCUAUGUUUUCAUCAAUUACAUGCAAAUAUGUAUUUCUAAAGUUUCACAAAACAAAGAUUUUGUUGGCCUAACUGUAAUUUGCUCUAAAAGACAUUUUUUUUUCUAGAAAAUAUGGCAAAAAUUACAAUUUUACCUUCCUUCUAGUUCAUCCAAAUUCUAAAACUUUAAUGUUAUUUGAAAACAUAAUUUGGCACCAAGUAUUCUUUAGGUUAUAAUCUAAGUUGCUCAUAAAAUGUAAUCUAGGCCUGGAUCAUUUUACUUUGAGGAGAAAACUUAUCACUAAAUAAUAAUGAUCUUAAGUCUGUUCUUUUGCCACUUCCCAGAGCUCUCUCCUAAGGCACUGUGGAAAAGUCAGGAGUAAAUUAGACUCCCACAUCUAGUAACCAAAACACCAUCAUCUCCAGCAUUACCACAGUCAAGUAUGCAGCUCGUCAUAAAUAUUUACACCUUGCAGGGUCCUUUGUGCACAACUCUGAGAGACAAAUGGCAUUUCCAGUAAUAGUUUAUUGAUUUCCAAAUGCACAGGGGCACCAAGUCCGAACAUCCUGGGAUAGCAGUAAAUCUCUCUUACAAAAUAAUUUACAGUAUGAAAAUGAUAUACUGAAACAUUAACCCAAACGUGUAAUUCCCUUGAAAGAUUCAGUGUUCCCUUGUUUAAUGUAAAGGGUGGAAGGGGAAGAUUCCUAAGGAGGGAAUGUGACUGUGCACAGGAAAAUAGGCAGAGGACAAUGGAUUCAUUGGUUCUCCCCAUUCAUGCAGUGUGGCCUGUCACUGUAGAAAGACUGGUCAGGUUUAACCCUCAUUAAGUAUUAAUCUGCUGUCCCCUCAAAGUCAUAUCAAGCCCAGUAUGGGCUCCGUGGCUUUUUUUGCACCAAUGUAUCCAUAAGUGUCUCCACUUAUUUUCAUUUUUCUGCUCUGGCCCUCGUUCUGCUGUUUCUGGUAUGUUCUCAGUUCCAAAUUAUACUAUCUUAUCUUACCAGGCAGGCCUCCAGAAUCAAGAACUGCCUGAGUCUUAUGGUUUCUGGAAUGGGACAGGGUAGGGGGCUUCAUAAGCACUGCUGGAUAAAGGCAAUAAUAAUGAGACUGAAGUCUCCCAUAUGGGCCUUCUUUUUCUCUUAGAGCUGGGCUGGACUCAAUCCAUAAUGAGAUUUUUUUAAACAUAAAAAUCUGAUGUGAUCAGCACACAGUAAACGUGCAGUUAAUUUUCUUAUUGAGAAGCAUGUAUUGCACAGCCAUUAUAUGAAUGUGGAAUUUCAGGAAUGGCAAGAGAAUAUUUUCUACUUGGGGAGAGAGGACUUCCUAGACCCUGCCACAACUACAAGGUCAUGAAUUCUGCAUUUGUGCCCUUAGGUCUAACUGGAGUAGUUAGACUCUCAGGUCACCAAAAUGGCUGGGCAUCCAAGUUUCCCAUCUUAUUAGACAUCCUGGAGGAGGGCUGGAGUGCAAUUUCCUUCAGGGCUGUCACUUUGACUCAGUGCCUUAGGAGCUAAUGACCUUUGCUAGGGAAUUGCUCUUCCUGUAAGCAAGUACCUAAGCCCCAACUAUAUGGUGACACUUGUAAUUAGGGCUGACAGAAAUCUUUGAAGUAGUACGCAAGAUAAUGAAGGGGCUGCUUUGAGUUUUCCUUAGCUCUCAAAUAUUGUGUGUGUGUGUGCGGACAUGUAUGUAUGUAUAUACAUAUACACACAUAUCACACUUGUCCUUUAUAUAUAGGUACACACUCCCCCGACACACACACUAAAACCAGGAAUCAGUAAGAGAGUCCAGAUUCACUGGACUUUGAAUUGCCACAUCCUCACAGAGUACACUGGCGGCUAAGUUUACUAAAAUAUGAAGAUUUCCUUUUCUACAGGAGUGAAGCUGCAGACAUUUUCAAAUAAAGUUGAGUAGAGAGCAGAACACCCUUCACUUUUACUACUGCUGCAAAGUUCUAUAUCUUUGAAGGCCAAGAAACACCUUAUUUAUGGAAGAUGGCAUGAAAAAGGAAAUGUUCUCCUAACUCCUGGGGGUGGGCUCAAGUCAGCAAUGUGUACUUAAAGCAUCUGCUAAAGGGGAGAAAUAAGGCUACUAUUUGGAGAUCAAACAAUGAUUAUUGGGGAAAGACAAUACAAGCUUCCAAAUCCUAAAAUCUUUUUAAUCUUCUGAUACUUAAAUUUUUUCGAGAGUGGCCACUGGUCCUUCUUUUAGGGUACUUUUGUUGGAUAUGAUUGGUGGUUGUAAUUAAUGGUAUGCCAAAUUCUCCAGUCUUUGCAGAGAUAGGUAAAGCACCAAAAUUGUCCUAGCCAUUUCUUGGCCAUCAGUUUGAGAGAAAAAUGCUUUUUUUUUUUUUUUUUUAACACCUCAAACUCCCCUCAGCCCCAAUAUCCUGGCAUCUUUAGUGAGUCAGGACAAU
rnacentral:lncRNA from 1 species